rnacentral:rRNA from 1 species
AGAUAAUAGAUACCCGGGUAGUCCAUGCCGUAAACGUUGGGAACUAGGUGUGGGUCUCAUUCCACGAGAUCCGUGCCGCAGCUAACGCAUUAAGUUCCCCGCCUGGGGAGUACGGCCGCAAGGCUAAAACUCAAAGGAAUUGACGGGGGCCCGCACAAGCGGCGGAGCAUGCGGAUUAAUUCGAUGCAACGCGAAGAACCUUACCAAGGCUUGACAUACACCGGAAUCACUCAGAGAUGGGUGCGUCUUCGGACUGGUGUACAGGUGGUGCAUGGUUGUCGUCAGCUCGUGUCGUGAGAUGUUGGGUUAAGUCCCGCAACGAGCGCAACCCUCGUUCUAUGUUGCCAGCACGUCAUGGUGGGGACUCAUAGGAGACUGCCGGGGUCAACUCGGAGGAAGGUGGGGAUGACGUCAAAUCAUCAUGCCCCGUUAUGUCUUGGGCUUCACGCAUGCUACAAUGGCCGGUUACAAAGGGCUGCGAAA